UGGAGCAGAGUGGAUUAGGGAAGAACAAGCGAAGCAAGGGAGAAUGUGGGCCGUUUGUCCUUCCCUAAUCCACUCUGCAACAACAACAACAAAA
rnacentral:miRNA from 1 species